ACGGCAGACAAGAUGAUGGACAAGACGGUGGACAAUGUGGACCGCAUGACCGACAAGAUGGGAGACAAAAUGGCUCAUAAGCUGUCUCUUUGUGUCACCUGUUGGAAGGUAGCCUGGACCAGGUUGGCCGGGAACAUGUUUCUGCAGGACAAAAGGCUGCAGAUACCAGCCACCGAUACUUGAGGCAAACAAAUCUGAUGUCCAGUAAAUCCUCUGGCCCAAUAGGUGGCUCUACACUGCUCCAGUUUGACACAUUGGCGAAUCAUCAUGGUCACAAGGCGCUGGAGCCUAUCCCAGCUAACUCCGGGCGAGAGGUGGACUACACCCUGAACAGGCUCUGGAUACUUCCGAGAGGGAGAACACCAAAAAUCAAGAUUAACCCAGUGGAACUUGUGGGUGCGGCGGAUAAAUG